rnacentral:rRNA from 1 species
UACGAAGGGGGCUAGCGUUGCUCGGAAUUACUGGGCGUAAAGCGCACGUAGGCGGAUAUUUAAGUCAGGGGUGAAAUCCCAGAGCUCAACUCUGGAACUGCCUUUGAUACUGGGUAUCUUGAGUAUGGAAGAGGUAAGUGGAAUUGCGAGUGUAGAGGUGAAAUUCGUAGAUAUUCGCAGGAACACCAGUGGCGAAGGCGGCUUACUGGUCCAUAACUGACGCUGAGGUGCGAAAGCGUGGGGGAGCAAACAGG